CAAGUACUCCCUCCGUUCGGAAUUACUCGUCCAAGAAAUGAAUGUAUCUAGAUGUAUUUUAGUUGUAGAUAUAUCCAUUUUUGUGACAAGUAAUUCCGAACGGAGGGAGUAUAAC
rnacentral:pre_miRNA from 1 species